AACAAAUAAUCAUAAAAGGGGAUUAGGGUUAUGUGACUUUUAGAUUCUUCUCUUCUCCCUCUCACGGUCGUGAAGUAGCAACGGCGCCGGGGAAAGCCUUUCUCCUCCAACGAAACCGACAUCAUCGCACAACCACCGUGAACAUACGAAUUAUCACCUCUCAUCUCGACUCUCUUCUAUCUCUGGUCUCCACGCGUUCUCAAUCUCUCUAUCUUCUCAAAUCCCAGGUUCUCUCUCGGUUCUCUCCGAUGAAUUGAAAUCACGCCUCAACAAGAACAGAACAUGCUAAAAAAGAAGGUCACCACUCAGGUACGUCUUCGACUUUUACGCUUCGUUUUCUCCAUAUCAAAUUUUCUCCUCUUUUGCUUCUGUGUUUUUCGUCUUUGUUCCAGUUGUUGAUACGUGGAUGGAGUUGAUGCGGGUUGAAGGUUCCUUCUGAGUUUGUGAAGACUUGAAGGAUCGAUCGAAGAAGAUGAAGAGGGGAUGCCGUUUUCUUUGAAGGUCUGAGAUUGAUCAUUUGACAGCCUUAUGCAGUCAAGGACUGUAGAUGCACCUAUUAGGGGAGAAGAGGGAGAAACUUCAAAGCACUGUUGAUCUUGUUCAAAAUAACUUGAACUUAGAGGUGAUCUAUGGGGAUACUGAUUCAAUAAUGAUUUACAGUGGGCUAGAUGAUAUUGCAAAAGCAACUUCAAUAGCUAAGAAAGUUAUUCAAGAGGCUCUGGUCAAUGUCUGUGGUGCCGUAGUCUGCAAGGAAGAAUGCGAUCCAUUUGUAUCUGUGACUCUUGUGAGGCAGGGUGCUAAACAUAAUGAAGUGAGAAAGACAAUUAGCUUGACCUCUGAGAGUAGUGAACUUCUGUUUUCUGAUGUUAUUCCUGGAAAAUACAGGCUUGAGGUGAAACAUAGUUCCCCUGAAUCAGUGGCCAAGGAAGAUAAUUGGUGCUGGGAGAAGAGCUUCAUAGAUGUAAAUAUUGGAGCUGAGGACUUGGAAGGAAUUGUUUUUGUUCAAAAAGGUUACUGGGUCAAUGUGAUCUUCACUCAUGAAGUUAGGGGGGGUUACAUAACUCAACCUGAUGGAUCAACUGUGAAUUUAAAGAUUCAGGGUCUUGAAGUUUUUAGGAAGAAGCAUGUAUUGGUGUUCAUUUCGAGUCUUGAUAGCAUUGAAGAUGAGAUUUCACUUUUGAAUUCAAUCUAUGAAAGAUUGCAAGAAAACUCAAAAGAAUCAAUAAAAGAUCCACCCUCAUGCUUCAAAACAAGUCUUGGAUGAACUUUCUGAAAACCUUCAAAUUCCUAUUGUGGUUCAACCACCACAGAUGCAGAGCUGCAGAUUGGAGACGAAGAAGAUUGUGAUGAAGAUAUGGAAGAAGCUUGUGAUCAUGAAGAUGUGAAAGAAGGUUGUCCUGAAGAUGUGGAAGAAGAACAAGGAGAUGAUCAAGAAGAAUUUUAAGAAGUUGUGUUUUAUAUUAUCUAGCUAACUAGUUCUUAGAAGUUGUGUUUUAAGAAGUUGUGUUUUAUAUUAUCCAACUUAUUAGUGACACUACAAAAAAAAUUACUUUUGACGUUAAUGUUAAUUUGCUUGUAAUUAA